rnacentral:rRNA from 1 species
GACGAACCGUACGAACGUUAUUCGGAAUCACUGGGCUUAAAGGGUGCGUAGGCUGCGCGGAAAGUUGGGUGUGAAAUCCCUCGGCUCAACCGAGGAACUGCGCCCAAAACUGCCGUGCUCGAGGGAGACAGAGGUGAGCGGAACUUAGGGUGGAGCGGUGAAAUGCGUUGAUAUCCUAAGGAACACCGGUGGCGAAAGCGGCUCACUGGGUCUCUUCUGACGCUGAGGCACGAAAGUUAGGGUAGCGAACGGG